CGCUCCAUCGAUCGCGUCGGUGCCCCGCAAGGGGCUUAAAUGGGAACGCGGUGCGGGAUGAAACUCCCUAAUCCGUGGCUGUCCCUGCAACUGUGAGCGGCGAGCAAGGCAAGGACCGGCCAACCCCCAUCAACCCGGGACGGCCAGCCACUGGAGCAAUCCGGGAAGGCCCCCUGCCAAGGCUAUGACCCGCAAGCCAGGAGACCUGCCGAACGCAAAGGUCGCUC
rnacentral:ncRNA from 2 species